rnacentral:rRNA from 1 species
UACGUAGGGUGCGAGCGUUGUCCGGAAUUAUUGGGCGUAAAGAGCUCGUAGGCGGUGUGUCGCGUCGGCCGUGAAAACCUGGGGCUUAACUCUGGGCGUGCGGUCGAUACGGGCAUCACUAGAGUUCGGCAGGGGAGACUGGAAUUCCUGGUGUAGCGGUGAAAUGCGCAGAUAUCAGGAGGAACACCGGUGGCGAAGGCGGGUCUCUGGGCAUUACCUGACGCUGAGGAGCGAAAGUGUGGGGAGCAAACAGG